UACGUAGGUGGCAAGCGUUGUCCGGAAUUAUUGGGCGUAAAGCGCGCGCAGGCGGUCCUUUAAGUCUGAUGUGAAAGCCCACGGCUCAACCGUGGAGGGUCAUUGGAAACUGGGGGACUUGAGUGCAGAAGAGGAAAGCGGAAUUCCAGGUGGUAGCGGUGAAAUGCGUAGAUAUCUGGAGGAACACCGGUGGCGAAGGCGGCAUCCUGGAGCCGACACUGACGCUGAGGAGCGAAAGCCAGGGGAGCAACGGG
rnacentral:rRNA from 1 species